UACGUAGGGUGCGAGCGUUAAUCGGAAUUACUGGGCGUAAAGCGUGCGCAGGCGGUUUUGUAAGUCUGACGUGAAAUCCCCGGGCUCAACCUGGGAAUUGCGUUGGAGACUGCAAGGCUGGAGUCUGGCAGAGGGGGGUAGAAUUCCACGUGUAGCAGUGAAAUGCGUAGAGAUGUGGAGGAACACCGAUGGCGAAGGCAGCCCCCUGGGUCAAGACUGACGCUCAUGCACGAAAGGCGUGGGGAGCAAACGGG
rnacentral:rRNA from 1 species